UGGGGGUCAAUGCGCAUAGUCAAAGCAUUGCGCAUUUCGUGGCUAACCUCACCGAGUCGAUCGACCAGCAGUGAACGAGCUGUCAGUGCGAAAACCUAUUCAUUUCGUCUUGUGCUGUAUUUUGGUGCCUAGUGGGUGUGCUAAGUGUCUACGAGCGCAUUUUGUUUUAUUAAGGUGCUAAUAAACAUUAAACUUGCAGGAUGCCUUCAGCAGCGCCACCCGCCGAAAAUGGCGCGCCCCGCAGCGAGCUUGAGCAGCUGCAAUUGCGCGCCGGACAAGUCACCGAUGAUUCGUUGGAGUCGACUCGGCGUAUGAUGCAACUAUGUGAGGAGAGCAAGGAGGCCGGCAUUCGUACUCUGGUCGCUCUAGAUGACCAGGGAGAGCAAUUGGACAGAAUCGAGGAGGGCAUGGACCAGAUCAACGCGGACAUGCGCGAGGCAGAGAAGAAUCUGUCCGGCAUGGAGAAAUGUUGCGGCAUCUGUGUGCUGCCGUGCAACAAGGGUGCAUCGUUCAAGGAGGACGACGGUACGUGGAAGGGCAACGACGAUGGCAAGGUGGUGAACAACCAACCCCAGAGGGUGAUGGAUGAGCGCAACGGUAUAGGACCACAAGCCGGAUACAUAGGAAGGAUAACAAACGACGCUCGCGAGGAUGAGAUGGAAGAGAACAUGGGACAGGUGAACACUAUGAUCGGCAAUCUGCGCAACAUGGCUCUGGACAUGGGCUCCGAGCUGGAGAAUCAGAACCGCCAGAUCGACCGCAUCAACCGCAAGGGCGAAUCGAACGAAACGAGGAUAACUCUGGCGAACCAGCGCGCGCACGAGCUCCUCAAGUAAAGGACGGCGCCACGCACACACACCACCACUCACACACACACGCGGUCUCGUGCCACGCCCUGCAAACCGGUUGCAGAUACAACAACCUCCCCAUAGAAUACGUGCCAUCUAAAUUGAUCGACAUAAACUCAGUAUUUGCGCAAAAACUGCGCAACCAAUUUAGCGCAUUAAUAUUUUGCUGAUCAAUAAAGAUGGCGCUAGCAAUACCUAUUUAUCAUCAUUUUUAAGAUGUUUAUUUAGUUGCGAUAGUUAGAAUUAAUUAUGAUCAUAAUAUAUUAAGUUAGGUGAAUUUGUUAUGAAAUGGAUCUGCAACCGGCGAUAUAAUAUAAUUUAGAAAUCAAAAUAUUUUUGCUUAGUGUCUCACUUCUAUCUCGAGAUACAUAUUAUAUCCAAGUGUAAUAAAAUUAAUACUUUACAUGUAAUCCUAGCAUGCUACUGUAUAAAGUGAACACUUCGUUUUUGUGUCUCUUGUGUUUACUGCUUUCUUGACGCUCAAGUUUUAAGUACAUUAUGUAAACAUUUUGAAAAGUAUAAGUACAUCAUGUAGUUUUGUUUGGGGUACAUAGUUUUUGCAAGUGGUAGGUACCUAUUACUAAUGGAAAGAGAUUAUAUACAUUUUUGUUGGUGCUAAUCUAAAACGGUGCAUACAAAAUGUGUAGCAAAGUUUCCUUAACACAACUUAGUACCCAAAAUCCCGAAUGAAUUAAGAACCCACCCCUUACAAAACUACAUAACAUUAUUAAAUAGUUUUGGUGCUCAUUUCAUGCAGUAGAACAUGUUGAAGUUAUACUUAAUCGUAUUUACGCCAUCGUCUCGUAACUUAUAUUAUUAUAAACUACUACACAGUAUAAACAGUUAAGGAGUUAAAGCGUGAGAUUUAUUAUUUUGAGAAAAUGCAUUUACCCCUUGUUAAUAUGUAGUGUUACUGUUAAUGCUAGAAGAAGUAUAAUGUUGCUUAUCGCAAACUUAAACAUUCAUAUUUGUAAUAUUAAUUGAUUCAUAUACCUUGCGAUGAAACAAGAUAUAUUUAAAGGAAAUUGUUAUAUUAUACUCCUAUUAUAAGGGAUCAAAUCUCUCACAGAUCUGAAUUUAUUCAUUGGCUAUUUUAUCUUUCAAAAUUUCACACUUCCUCACAAUUAUAAUUGUCCUCACAGUUGGGUGAUAUCCUAUAGUUUUACAUAAUUUCUCUAUACUUCCUUGCAUAUUAGUCAAAAAUGCAUGAUGGACAGUUGGAUACAUGUGCUGUUCAGCAGUGUAGGCUAUCUCGUAAGAGGGGAUGAAUAAAUGGUUACAAUGUAUGCCAGGGAUGAGUUGAUAUGUGAUAAUAGUUUGAAUUUAAGUGAAUAGAGUUAGCCAGUCACAUGUCUUCGAUGAAACUUGUAUCUGAAGUGCAUCAGAUCUCAACAUUGAUUUUUAAUACGUUUCAUAGGAGCAUUUAUGUAUUUGCAAAAUUAUAAUUUUAAAACAAAAAAAAACUCUCCUAAAGGCUCAAAUAUUUAGUGAAUCAACUUAGUUACAAUCUACUCAUAUGUUAACAUUUUCUUUUUAUAUAUUUGUAACGGUAAAUGGAAAACUAAAACAUAGCUUUUACAUAUCUGUGCAAUAAUAUACAUAUCUGCUUCUAUGAAAUAGUAUGAAAAGACGCUACCUAAAUAAUGUAACUUAGUAUUACAAUGUAGCUAUUCUUAACUUAGCGAUAAACUAUCAUAAUUUAUUAAAACUACUUAGUAAUUUUUAUUUAUUUUAUGAAAAAAAUAAAUCAUUUCAUUUUAAAAAAGUGAUUUUAAGUUAUUUAUUUUCCCUUUUACAUUUUGAGUUAGAUUUUGAAUCAAAUAUUUUAAUUUAUUUUCGUAACUAUACUUAUUGUGAUUACUGAAUUAUUAUUAACGCAAAUAAGGCGUAAUCAAUUACAUUAUUUGAAUUAUUAAGUAAAGAUGAAAAUUAAGGAUUGAAGAAUUGUAGGUAGAUUGCCGCAGUAUACUUUAAGUAAUGAAACUAAAUUAUAGUAUAUGUAUCGUAUCCUAAAUUAAUAUAUACCUGCGUAAUAUUAAUCUUUGUAUUAUUAUGAAGUAAUUUUAGAAUUCACGAUGUCAUCCAAAUCGGACAUCUUGUAUUAGGCAUUCAGAAUCCAGGUAGGUAAAGUUAUCGAACUCUUAAUUUUUUUUAAUAAGUCAGAAAUGCAUAACUCCACGAGACUGCACACACACAGACAAACUAAACACACAACACGUCGCUGAAGAUCGGUGAGAGCAACGAGACGCGCAUAGCAGUGGCCAACCAACGCGCGAACAAGCUCCUCAAGUCUUAAGCACUUCGCACUUCAUUAAAGCCACUAAAAUGACGCUUGCCACACAUAUACGCUUAUUUUAUAUAGACUGGAUUUUUUGAGUUCAUGCACUGCAAGAUCCUUAUUUUGACAUCUUUAAGUGAUGCAGAUUAAUGUGUAAAAAGGGAUUGAAGUCUAUAAAUUAAGGGAUCAGUCGAAACGAACUGGAACUGGACUAGAAUCUGAAUGACUUGAAGAUAUCAAAUAUUGGUCUUGUACGCUUAUGGACCGCUUAAAAUCCAUUACGUAUAAAAUCAAUACACUACACAAUUAUUUUUAUCAAGCAAAAGUACGAUUAGCUUAUUUUCUUAAGCAAUUUUUUCACCAUAUUAUGGAAAGCUUUCAGACAUUACAAAAACUUUGGCAAGCAUCAUUUUAGAGUUCCUUAAGCGUUAUGUAUGUGGUAAGUACAGUUAUAUUAUUCGCGUAUAAUAAAUAAUAUUUGCAAUAAUUUGAUUUAUAUCGUUAUUGUACGAGGCUUGCGGACAAUCUGACUGAUCAUGUUCCUAGUCAAGUUGUCGAGUAUUUUCCUAAAUGUUAUCGUAUACUAUCAGUAAUUGUAUUGUUAACUGUACUUACCUAUGUUCAUUUGAACUUUGAGAUUGCAUUUUUACAAUUUAUUUAUUCUUGCCAUAUUUUUAAGUUUAUUUGCGUUUAAGACGAAAUACUCUCGGGUUUGUAUUUACAUAUGGCAAUACUAAAUUUCAAAUCAAACAUUAAAAAUCAAUUAUAAAAUCACUUUUCCUAAAAUAAUACACUAAAUCUAUAUUGCUUUAUAUAAAUACAACCUCUUGAAAAUCAACCGCAAAAAGUAUGAUUUAUAAUUUUAGUAAUGUGCCAAAAUUAUUUUCUAUAGGAAUGCCUCAUUAUAAGACACGAAAUUUUAUGUUUUCACACUAAUUUCAAAGGCUUCGAUACAAAACCUACACCUCGCCUGUAGACAUUUAAUAAAAACCAAUAAUAAACAUUUCCUUAAUUAAUUUUACUUAAAAAAUGCACUAAAUCACAUAAAAUAUUUUCAGAUGACUUUGAACGGCCAAUCGGCCAAUAAAACGUUUUUUCAUGAAUUUAAACACAAUGAUAGCACAGAGUAAGCACAAAAAUUGUUUUAUAGAAAUACAUAUAUUUUCGUAUUCAUUUGCACUCAUCAUUAAUAUAAGUGCAACGUACAUAUAAAGGCGACGUAGUAGAAUUUGACGCUCAAUACAUUACUACUAUUUCCCGCCAUAAAAUGGCGUCGUGACGUUUCAUUACACGAUAUAUUUCAGAACUCUUGACCUCUAUAAAGGACAAGCAAACAAUACUUACCUAUCAGCAAGUCUUCGUCUUAAAUUAAACAUUAGUGAGAUUUUAAAAUUAAAUAUUAUGUAGUAUUAUAAUAUUUGUUGAGAUUUUAGGUAUCUCUCGUUUCACGUAACUGAGCGAUACUAUAGUUUGACUUUUACUUAUCGUACUUUCGAAUUGUAUAAUCCAAUGUACUGCUUUUUUAAUUUAUUAGAUUAAGAUAACGGUGCCUGAAUUCGUAGAUUUUUUUGUAUUUCUAUUAAAUUGUGACUUUUCAUUAAUUUAAUAAAUAAUAGCAGUCAAUAGUUUGAAUCCUUAUGAUUUAUUUAUUGUAAUUGCGUAGAUACGUUGUGUAAGCCAGUUAUUAUGUAAGCGCUUAGUACACGAUGUCGUGGGUGUCGCGGUAAUAGUUUGUUAAUGGGAAGAUAUUAAAUGACCCAGUGUACAGUUACAUUCAUCUUGAUUACAGACACGAUGUCGAUCAACCAUUUGAGUGCUUAGCGAGUUUCAAGUAAACUUUUGUCGAUACAUAAGCUAUAACUCGGCUAAAGUAUUAAUGUAUUCUACGAAGUAGGCAAUGUCAUUUUGGCGCAUACACGUACUUUGACACUUCCGAAAACAAAUGACGAAUACGUAAUAGAGGAGCUACACUACAAUAUAACUAUAUCAGUCGAGUUUUUCUAUUGACAAGAGUUAACAAAUAACUUGCGUGCGUAGCACUGUUAGUCUACUGUCAAUUUUCGGAUGUUCUGAUUGGUUGUCCAAUUACGACCAAUCAAAUCACUUGUCAGAUUUGACAGUUUGUAUGUUAUAAGGCUUUCGUGCGAGGGUCAUAUAAAGCGUUGUGUAAUGUGAUUACAGAAUAUAAUGCAAUAGUCUAUGAAAACUAUAUCGUAUAGUUGAAUAUUUAAAACUUUAUUAUUACUUAAAGUGUAUUGUUGUAAGUAUGACGAAUAAAAUGUACCGGCCUUAGGAGUAAUGUGUAGGAAUGUUAAAGGCAGCGGCUUGACAAAUUAUAUUAUACUCGUGUAACAAGUUAGUUAAGAGUUUUCGAAAAUUUCUCUAUGUCUUUUUCUCUCAAUCGUAUUAGUUUCUAAGGAUAUACGCGUACUGUGCGCGGACAUUUAUCUAAGUACAUCAUAUUUUAAUAAUGAAAUAUUUUAACAGUGUUGUCUCUUAACUUUUGAGCUGUAGUCCACACGCGCCGUCACUUUGUGGUUCUGACCACUGACGCCCGCGCGCCACUUCCCACUCGCCAGCCGGCGCUGACAGCCGCGGUGACAGAACACAGGGCGACGGCGCGUGCGCAGCCUCGUAGAUUGUUUUGUAACAGCUAUUCAAUUUAACCAAUAGAUGUGUAAAUUUACCGCCUGCAUAAUCUGAAUAAUGAUUUUUAAUCAGCCUAAAAUAUUAACUACCUAGGAUUAAAAAUAAUUAUAUCUAUUUUCUUUAAGAAUAGAUAAAGGAUAGUAUAAACUGUUAAUUUCUAAUUACAUUAUUGAUUUGUUAAAUUACAAA